GGGGAAUUAGCUCAGUUGGGAGAGCGUCUGCCUUACAAGCAGAAUGUCAGCGGUUCGAGCCCGUUAUUCCCCA
rfam:Facklamia languida CCTG 37842 genomic scaffold supercont1.1, whole genome shotgun sequence.